rnacentral:rRNA from 1 species
CCUACGAGGAGCAGCCGUGAGGAAUAUUGGUCAAUGGGCGCGAGCCUGAACCAGCCAAGUCGCGUGAGGGCAGACUGUCCUAUGGAUUGUCCACAUCUUUUGUCGGGGAGCAAAAGCCGCCCCGCGUGGCGUUCCGAGAGUACCAGAAGAAAAAGCAUCGGCUACCUCCGUGCCACAAGCCGCGGUACUACGGAGUCAGCGAGCGGUAUCCGGAGGUAUUGGGUGUAAAGGGUGCGCCGGCGGAAGAUCAAGCCAGCGGUAAAAUUGAGAGGCUAAACCGCUUCGCGCCGUUGAAAAUGGUUUUCUUGAGUGAGCGAGAAGUAGGAGGAAUGAGUGGGGUAGCUGUGAAAUGAAGAGAUAGCACGCAGAACUCCGAUUGCGAAGGCAGCAUACCGGCGCUCAACUGACGCUGAUGCACGAAAGUGUGGGUAUCGAACAGGAUUAGAUACCCCUGUAGUC